CUACGUGCCAGCAGCCGCGGUAAUACGUAGGUGGCAAGCGUUGUCCGGAAUUAUUGGGCGUAAAGCGCGCGCAGGUGGUUUAAUAAGUCUGAUGUGAAAGCCCACGGCUCAACCGUGGAGGGUCAUUGGAAACUGUUAAACUUGAGUGCAGGAGAGAAAAGUGGAAUUCCUAGUGUAGCGGUGAAAUGCGUAGAGAUUAGGAGGAACACCAGUGGCGAAGGCGGCUUUUUGGCCUGUAACUGACACUGAGGCGCGAAAGCGUGGGGAGCAAMCAGGAUUAGAUACCCUGGUAGUCCACGCCGUAAACGAUGAGUGCUAGGUGUUAGACCCUUUCCGGGGUUUAGUGCCGUAGCUAACGCAUUAAGCACUCCGCCUGGGGAGUACGACCGCAAGGUUGAAACUCAAAGGAAUUGACGGGGGCCCGCACAAGCGGUGGAGCAUGUGGUUUAAUUCGAAGCAACGCGAAGAACCUUACCAGGUCUUGACAUCCCUCUGACCGCUCUAGAGAUAGAGUUUUC
rnacentral:rRNA from 1 species